rnacentral:rRNA from 1 species
UACGUAGGGUGCAAGCGUUAAUCGGAAUUACUGGGCGUAAAGCGUGCGCAGGCGGCUUUGCAAGACAGAUGUGAAAUCCCCGGGCUCAACCUGGGAACUGCAUUUGUGACUGCAUCGCUGGAGUACGGCAGAGGGGGAUGGAAUUCCGCGUGUAGCAGUGAAAUGCGUAGAUAUGCGGAGGAACACCGAUGGCGAAGGCAAUCCCCUGGGCCUGUACUGACGCUGAGGCACGAAAGCGUGGGGAGCAAACAGG